rnacentral:lncRNA from 1 species
UGGUGAGAGAGUGAGAAGCGAUGGCCCAGACAGCCACCCACUGGAGUGGAAGCCAGCAUGGCAGGCAGGAUGGGGCCUCAGUAUGACAAGCAUAUAACAACCUUGGACUGUUGGAUCCUGCCAGCCACCUGGAGGGCCUCAGGGAAAGACUUGGGACCCUACCCGGUGUCAACGGAAGGACUUUUGCCUGCAGGUUUACAGUAAUUGGUUUACAACUGGGCUAGAAGAAAAAUAAAAUGAAACAAAAUGUUCCUGAGUAUCCUGCACUACCUAAGGAGACCACAACAUUUCCAUGCUGCACUAAAGACACAUCUUCCAAGGUCAAGGGAUAACAGAAUUAAAGUUAAAAAAAAAAAAAAGCCUCUGAUCGUAUCUAAGAACAAAGAAGCUAUCAAAGACGCCUCGUGUCUUGUCAAAAGGAUCCAGGAGCUAACUUGAAAAGGCUCUCACAGGUCAAUGCUGUCACACAACUUGAAUGUAAGUAAGCACAAUGACAACCAUAUCAAGACACUGACUGACAUCAUUUUAGUUAAUGAUUUUUAAAAAAUAUUUUUGGUUUAUUAGUUUUUAUUUUAUGUGGAAGAGUGACUUGCCUGCAUAUCUGUCUGUACACCAUGUGCAUGCCUGGUGCUGGAAGAAGUCAGAAGAGGGUACUGGAUCCCCUGGAACUGGAGUUACAGAUGGUUGUGAGCUUCCACGUGGCUCCUGGGAAUCAAACCUAGGUCCUCUGGAAGAGCAGGCAGUGCCCUUAACCACUGAGCCAUCUCUCUGGCCUGGUGAAUUUUUUUAUAUUAAGUUUUUUUUAAAAAAAAAUCACCUUAGCUUAUUUAUUACACUUGAAGGAUUCUGGGGAGCCAAUCAGUACUUUGAAAGCUGAUAAAAGAAUUGGGUAUUUUUGUGCCUCUUUCCCCCAUUCAAACUAUGUCACUGGAUAAUUAAACAGUACACAGGACAAGUUCUCAUUAUUAAAAAGGGCUUAAAUGAUAAUGAGUAUGUGGGAGACU